ACCAAGGCCCAACACGGCCCAGUAAAGGUCGGCACGCCAUUACGGCGUCCUGCGAGAAGCUGUUGGCGUGGCGGGCGACGGAGGCGGGGCGGCGGCCUCGCCGUUCGCCGUCGCUGUGCCCUGACUCGCCCUCGGGGCAGCCGGCACCCGGAAACACCUUUUCCAGAUUGCAAUAUAGUGAUUAUACCUAGAAAGAGCCUUAAGCUCCUUCAAGUGGAGACGUUGCAGAAGGUCGAAAUCCAGCUUGGCAAACUCCAGAAUGGAGGAGUUAUGUGUCGGCUCUGCUUUGUACUCUGAGAUAUAAUGUAGAGCCUCAAUUCUUCUUAAGGUCCGUGACAGUGGUAGGUGAAGGGCUCGGUUCACUUGCUGGGCCAAUGGGUAUUCAAGGUUAUUUCUCAUCGAUUCAAGAUGUUGCCUCGCAAAUAAUAUAGCCUCUUCAAGAUCUGCCUCUCCAUGUGUGAAAAGGUAAGCUGCAUUGUAUAAACUUAGUAGUCCCCUUGCAUCGUUAGUUAUAUGAGCAUUAAAGUUCCCAUUUUCGUCUUUGAACCUGUUGAAUUCAUCUGCAAGAUCGAACAAUCAAAUUAUAUGCAAGUCAUGAAUCUGAUGAGCUUAUUAGCAUCAA